CAGUAGCCGCGGUAAAACGGAGGGUGCAAGCGUUAAUCGGAAUUACUGGGCGUAAAGCGCACGCAGGCGGUUUGUUAAGUCAGAUGUGAAAUCCCCGAGCUUAACUUGGGAACUGCAUUUGAAACUGGCAAGCUAGAGUCUUGUAGAGGGGGGUAGAAUUCCAGGUGUAGCGGUGAAAUGCGUAGAGAUCUGGAGGAAUACCGGUGGCGAAGGCGGCCCCCUGGACAAAGACUGACGCUCAGGUGCGAAAGCGUGGGGAGCAAACAGGAUUAGAUACCCCAGUAGUCCCUGUCUCUUAUAC
rnacentral:rRNA from 1 species